rnacentral:misc_RNA from 1 species
GUGAAUCAUCAAAUCUUUGAACGCAAAUUGCACUCCCUGGUAUUCCGUGGAGUAUGCCUGUUUGAGGGUCGUUAGAAGAAAAAUCGAAGCAUCGCUCUUUUUUUUGAGGGUGAUCGCGUCGGAAUUGAUCCGUCUUUAAAAUUUUAAUGCAUUUCUGAGUGGCUUAAAAUUAACCCAUCCGGGACGAUUAAAGCGUAUUGAAGAGCAAUUUUGAUUAAGAACGCGCGAUUACGUACCAGCUCAUG